AAUGAAUCCAGGUGGUGCAUCAAUCUCCUUGACAUACAUUGCUUCUGAAAGAACUAUCCCUGGAUAUGGCGGUGGCAUGAGUUCUGCAAAAGCGGCCCUUGAGAGUGAUACCAGGGUUCUGGCCUACGAGGCAGGAAGGAAAGGGAAAAUUAGGGUCAAUACAAUAUCUGCUGGCCCUUUGGGAAGCCGUGCUGCAAAAGCCAUUGGAUUCAUCGAGAAGAUGAUAGAUUAUUCAUAUGUGAAUGCUCCAUUGCAGAAGGAACUGCUAGCCGAUGAAGUUGGAAACGUAGCUGCGUUCUUGGUGUCCCCUCUGGCUUCUGCUGUAACUGGUUCAGU
rnacentral:misc_RNA from 1 species